rnacentral:rRNA from 1 species
AUUGAACGCUGGCGGCAGGCCUAACACACGCAAGUCGAACGAGCGGCGCACGGGUGAGUAAUGUCUGGGAAACUGUCUGAUGGAGGGGGAUAACUACUGGAAACGUUAGCUAAUACCGCAUACCAUCAGAUGUGCCCCGAUGGGUUUAGCUGGUUGGGGGGGUAACGGCUCACCAAGGCGACGAUCCCUAGCUGUGCUGAGAGGAUGAACGGCCACACUGAAACUGAGACACGGUCCAGACUCCUACGGGAGGCAGGAGUGGGGAAUAUUGCACGAUGGGCGCAAGCCUGAUGCAGCCAUGCCGCGUGUAUGAGGAAGGCCUUCGGGUUGUAAAGUACUUUCAGCGGGGAGGCGUUACCCGCAGAAGAAGCACCGGCUAACUCCGUGCCAGCAGCCGCGGUAAUAC